UUUACUCUCUUUUGCAUUACUAUGAGGUGAAACUUUUUAUUCCUUACCUUUUAUCGUGAUAUGAGGGAGGACUUUGGGCUAACUUUGGGUCAGGCCAGAUUGGUUCUUUUCCUUUUACCAUAGUAUUAGGUUCGAGUUCCGAAUUGAUUGAAGUUUUUUCCUUUUAUCGUGGUAUGAGGGGCGAGUUGUUUCCAUCGGGUUUUUGCAUUUUACCUGAGCGUUAAUUUUAUCCUUGAGCGGACUUCUAUCUUUCACACGCUGCCUGAUUGGCUGAAUUGAGUUGAGGUCUCUCUAUAUUUGACCGAUUAGACUCUGAAGAGUAAAUGGCUUUUGGGGAAAGGGGAAGUUUCCAACUCCCCAUUUUUCUUUUUCCGAUAACCUCUUCAAUUCGCAUUGUUCUUGUAUUUGAAGGUGUGUGAUAUUCUUUGUGAUCUUUCACAAAGACUUGAUAAAGACAAGAAGAAGUGACUGGAGGAAUCUUACACCAUGUCCUUUUCAUCGAGUUCUCCCAUCUUCCCUACUAUUAGGAAUCGGUCUCCAGGAGAUCAGAUCAGAGAUGGGUGAAGAAGUAUUUUGAUUUGUCGUGAGAAAAAUUUGAAGGCCACUCGUCCUCUUCACUCCGUUGCUCUUACGUGGGAAAAAGUCUUUCUCUCACCCUUAAGUUUGUGGAGGAGAAGCUUCUCUUUCAACCCUAUUUCAAGAAUCAAGAGAGGAUGAUUUUUAUUUUGUCUGUCUCGUCUGCAUUUGUUAAACACUAGUAGAAAUUUCUUUAAUGUAAAAGUUUGAUCUGUCACGUACCUGGCGCUUGUGCCUUCUUUGAUUGUUGAAUAAGACUCCUGUUUUUAAGUUUAUCUACCCUUCUUUUAAUGAAAGAAUUUGACUCCGGAAAUUGUCCAUUUUCUUCUUGUUUUGGUUUGAACUGACCUACUUUAUGAUUCACAAAAUGUAGGGGUUACUUUCGGAGCCUCCCAGCGAAUCGUCAAACUCAUGUGCUGAAAUGAAUCCCUUUUCCAUCCUUUUGAAUUAAGGUCAUGGCGCCAAGAUUUUCCUCUUGUAGAUUUGGGCUUUCACAUUCUUCCCCUUUUGAACGUAAGAUUGUUCCUCCUGACUUAUUUUUUCAAACAAAAGAUCAAUUUGAAGUGUAGUAAUUGUACUUGAUUUUGUAAUUUGCUUACGUACCCAUUUCAGGAUCAAGUUACUCUGUAUUUCAUUUUGUCUCCCUCGAGCAUUAGGGAAGUUGAGUUCCUUAGCCAUCAGAUGACUUGUUUUCUGAUUAAUGACUCUGCAAAGCUAGAACUCGAUCAAUUCAUUGAAUAGAUAGACUUCACUCGUCACUAUUUCAAUCCCAUCUGAUGUCAGUAACUUAAUACACUAAUGACAAUCUGAUAUGGAGAAAGUCAUUAUCAUCAUCACUUUGGCUGCUGACACCAGUAGGUUGAUAGUUGUAAUCGAGGUAGAUGUGUCUCCACUAAAACCCGUAAGUGUUGAUCUUAGACCUCGAAAGUCUAAUUUCUCAUUCCCCAAUUGUCUAAGGGUCUUCGUGAAUAUGAUGUUUGUCGUGCUUCCUGUAUUAAUCAAGUCACCAGAGAAUUCAC
rnacentral:lncRNA from 1 species